GUUGCCGCAAUUAAACUAAAUCCCUAUUAGGGAUUGAAAC
rfam:[Oscillatoria] sp. PCC 6506, WGS project CACA01000000 data, contig: Contig411